CAUGCAGUCGAGGGGCAGCAUUUUAGUUUGCUUGCAAACUGGAGAUGGCGACCGGCGCACGGGUGAGUAACACGUAUCCAACCUGCCGAUAACUCGGGGAUAGCCUUUCGAAAGAAAGAUUAAUACCCGAUGGUAUAAUUAGACCGCAUGGUCUUGUUAUUAAAGAAUUUCGGUUAUCGAUGGGGAUGCGUUCCAUUAGGCAGUUGGUGAGGUAACGGCUCACCAAACCUUCGAUGGAUAGGGGUUCUGAGAGGAAGGUCCCCCACAUUGGAACUGAGACACGGUCCAAACUCCUACGGGAGGCAGCAGUGAGGAAUAUUGGUCAAUGGGCGCAGGCCUGAACCAGCCAAGUAGCGUGAAGGAUGACUGCCCUAUGGGUUGUAAACUUCUUUUAUAUGGGAAUAAAGUUUUCCACGUGUGGAAUUUUGUAUGUACCAUAUGAAUAAGGAUCGGCUAACUCCGUGCCAGCAGCCGCGGUAAUACGGAGGAUCCGAGCGUUAUCCGGAUUUAUUGGGUUUAAAGGGAGCGUAGGUGGACAGUUAAGUCAGUUGUGAAAGUUUGCGGCUCAACCGUAAAAUUGCAGUUGAUACUGGCUGUCUUGAGUACAGUAGAGGUGGGCGGAAUUCGUGGUGUAGCGGUGAAAUGCUUAGAUAUCACGAAGAACUCCGAUUGCGAAGGCAGCUCACUGGACUGCAACUGACACUGAUGCUCGAAAGUGUGGGUAUCAAACAGGAUUAGAUACCCUGGUAGUCCACACAGUAAACGAUGAAUACUCGCUGUUUGCGAUAUACAGUAAGCGGCCAAGCGAAAGCAUUAAGUAUUCCACCUGGGGAGUACGCCGGCAACGGUGAAACUCAAAGGAAUUGACG
rnacentral:rRNA from 1 species